GAUGAACGCUAGCGACAGGCUUAACACAUGCAAGUCGAGGGGCAGCGGGGGUAGCAAUACCCGCCGGCGACCGGCGCACGGGUGAGUAACGCGUAUGCAACUUGCCUAUCAGAGGGGGAUAACCCGGCGAAAGUCGGACUAAUACCGCAUGAAGCAGGGGCCCCGCAUGGGGAUAUUUGCUAAAGAUUCAUCGCUGAUAGAUAGGCAUGCGUUCCAUUAGGCAGUUGGCGGGGUAACGGCCCACCAAACCGACGAUGGAUAGGGGUUCUGAGAGGAAGGUCCCCCACAUUGGUACUGAGACACGGACCAAACUCCUACGGGAGGCAGCAGUGAGGAAUAUUGGUCAAUGGGCGUAAGCCUGAACCAGCCAAGUCGCGUGAGGGAUGAAGGUUCUAUGGAUCGUAAACCUCUUUUAUAAGGGAAUAAAGUUCGGGACGUGUCCCGUUUUGUAUGUACCUUAUGAAUAAGGAUCGGCUAACUCCGUG
rnacentral:rRNA from 1 species